rnacentral:rRNA from 1 species
CAGCCGCCGCGGUAACACGGAGGGGGCUAGCGUUGUUCGGAAUUACUGGGCGUAAAGCGCACGUAGGCGGCUUGGUAAGCUAGAGGUGAAAGCCCAGGGCUCAACCCUGGAAUUGCCUUUAAGACUGCCGAGCUAGUAGGUGAGAGAGGUGAGUGGAAUUCCGAGUGUAGAGGUGAAAUUCGUAGAUAUUCGGAAGAACACCAGUGGCGAAGGCGGCUCACUGGCUCAUUCUAGACGCUGAGGUGCGAAAGCGUGGGGAGCAAACAGGAUUAGAUACCCGCGUAGUCCCUGUCUCUUAUAC